rnacentral:lncRNA from 1 species
AGGGAAUCCCCUGCCUCACCACCGAGCUUCGACGAGUUCGGGUCGUCGCGAAAAAGUAGGCGCACUCGUUCCACCGCAGAGCUCCGUGGCCGACGCGAGGCCCGCGCAGGCGCCUCCGAAGCAGGGCGACGGGGGAAGUCGCCGCGGGUUACACACUGACACGCCGGCACCCGCGGGACAGGAAAAAGAAGCCUCCGCAGCCCGACGGGUGCAGAAUUGCACCGAGAGCCGACGCCCGUCCCCUCGGCUUUACUGUCACCCGAAGCGGCUGGGUCUCCCCGGCCCCAGCCGUCCACCUUAAGGCCUCCGACGCAGGGCUACCUCCGCCACUGUCCCACAAUGCCCCGAGCGCGGGAGGACGCAAGAAGACAGGCUCCGCCCUCUCGUGGUCGCUCUCCGUGCGCAGGUGCGCGAGAGGCCGCUAGGUCGGCCUGGCGAGGCGCGUGCGCGGUGAGCGCUGGCGCCCAGAACCCGCCCACUCCGGAACUCCGCGGCUGUCCGUGCCCACGGUUGCCAAUGUUCUCUCCCUGAAUAAACCUAGAGGGCCCAGUGCGCAGGCGCUGCUGCAGCCAGAACCCCGUUUUCUGUGACUACAUUCCAAAAUCCGCUGAAUAUUCGGUUCUAGGAUCUUUCGCCCUGAAAGCUACCUUCGGAAAUCCGAUUGUUAUUCCGACUCCUUCAACCAUAUUUCUUUGACUCGAGUCAACUCCUAAGAAAUCCAUUCCAACUUUUCGUCCUCACGCGAAGCUGGUUGCUUUUGUUCAGUCGGGUUCGUCCCGGAUGCCUAAGCGUCUGCCGAGGUUUUCUGGCUGACCUCCUACUCAGGCAUUUGCCCAAGCCGCGUCUACUGUUGCCAGUUGCUGCACAAAGCCUCCUCUUGUAACAACCGGGAGGAACCCCUUAACGCCGGGAUUCAGUCACUAAAGGGCCUUUUCUAGCGCUGAGCCUCGGUUUACCCCAACUUUCAUCCCCUGCUCCUUCGUGCCCGUUUUAGAGGUCAGCUGUAAGGACUAGAUAAAUGCAUGUAAGAAACAUUAGUUUUCCUUUUUUAAAACAGCAGAUUAGGACUUUAUAUUUCGGGGACAUUUCACGUCAGUCAUUAUUUUGACUUUCAAGGGAUGUAGAUAUUUUUCUCCACCCCUUCUCAAAUGGCUUUAAUGGACUUGCACAGAUUAACACCUGUCAGUAAUUUUUUUCGUCUUGUCUCUCCUGGGCUGUGCUGCUUUUAAUUUUUGUUCGAUCUUGUAUCAACUGAGUUCUGUGUAAGAGAGCACCUUCAUAUUAAAAGUGAACAC